UAAUUGCUCAAAACUCAGAAUCAUUUCCCUUUUCAACAGUAGCAACAGAAUAGAUAAGGUGAGACAAUAACAUGUAGUCAAGCAACUAGCAAGAUAUCCAAGUGAUAAAACGCAACUCAAAAGAAAAGAUAAUAGAAGUGCAGAACAGAACUAAUGCAGUCACAUAGCGAUUUUGGCUACUUUGUGAAGGAAUGAGGAAACGAGAGAGCCACGGUUG
rnacentral:misc_RNA from 1 species